rnacentral:rRNA from 1 species
CCUACGGGAGGCAGCAGUGAGGAAUAUUGGUCAAUGGCCGGAAGGCUGAACCAGCCAAGCCGCGUGAAGGACGAAGGUGCCAAGCAUUGUAAACUUCUUUUGUCAAGGGACAAAAUCAGGCUCGAGAGCCUGACCGAGGGUACUUGAAGAAAAAGCAUCGGCUAACUCCGUGCCAGCAGCCGCGGUAAUACGGAGGAUGCGAGCGUUAUCCGGAUUUAUUGGGUUUAAAGGGUGCGUAGGCGGACUGUUAAGUCAGCGGUAAAAGCCCGGGGCUCAACCCCGGCGGGCCGGGGAAACGGGGGGUAUGGAGGUGUCGGGAGGUAUGCGGAAUGCGGGGUGUAGGGGUGAAAUGCUGAGAUAGUGCGCAGAACUCCGAUUGGGAAGGAAGCAUACCGGAGGCGAUCUGACGCUGAGGCACGAAGGCGGGGGUAUCGAACAGGAUUAGAUACCCCAGUAGUC